rnacentral:rRNA from 1 species
UUAAUUUAACUUGGGAGUCAGAACAUGGGUGAUAAGGUCCGUGUUCGAAAGGGAAACAGCCCAGACCACCAGCUAAGGUCCCAAAAUAUAUGUUAAGUGGAAAAGGAUGUGGCGUUGCCCAGACAACUAGGAUGUUGGCUUAGAAGCAGCCAUCAUUUAAAGAGUGCGUAAUAGCUCACUAGUCGAGUGACACUGCGCCGAAAAUGUACCGGGGCUAAACAUAUUACCGAAGCUGUGGAUUGUCCUUUGGACAAUGGUAGGAGAGCGUUCUAAGGGCGUUGAAGCAUGAUCGUAAGGACAUGUGGAGCGCUUAGAAGUGAGAAUGCCGGUGUGAGUAGCGAAAGACGGGUGAGAAUCCCGUCCACCGAUUGACUAAGGUUUCCAGAGGAAGGCUCGUCCGCUCUGGGUUAGUCGGGUCCUAAGCUGAGGCCGACAGGCGUAGGCGAUGGAUAACAGGUUGAUAUUCCUGUACCACCUAUAAUCGUUUUAAUCGAUGGGGGGACGCAGUAGGAUAGGCGAAGCGUGCGAUUGGAUUGCACGUCUAAGCAGUAAGGCUGAGUAUUAGGCAAAUCCGGUACUCGUUAAGGCUGAGC